GAAUCUGCCUGGUAGUGGGGGAUAACGUUCGGAAACGGACGCUAAUACCGCAUACGUCCUACGGGAGAAAGCAGGGGACCUUCGGGCCUUGCGCUAUCAGAUGAGCCUAGGUCGGAUUAUCUAGUUGGUGGGGUAAUGGCUCACCAAGGCGACGAUCCGUAACUGGUCUGAGAGGGUGAUCAGUCACACUGGAACUGAGACACGGUCCAGACUCCUACGGGAGGCAGCAGUGGGGAAUAUUGGACAAUGGGCGAAAGCCUGAUCCAGCCAUGCCGCGUGUGUGAAGAAGGUCUUCGGAUUGUAAAGCACUUUAAGUUGGGAGGAAGGGUUGUAGAUUAAUACUCUGCAAUUUUGACGUUACCGACAGAAUAAGCACCGGCUAACUCUGUGCCAGCAGCCGCGGUAAUACAGAGGGUGCAAGCGUUAAUCGGAAUUACUGGGCGUAAAGCGCGCGUAGGUGGUUUGUUAAGUUGGAUGUGAAAUCCCCGGGCUCAACCUGGGAACUGCUUUCA
rnacentral:rRNA from 1 species